rnacentral:rRNA from 1 species
GAUCAUGGCUCAGGAUGAACGCUGGCGGCGUGCUUAACACAUGCAAGUCGAGCGAAGCACCUAAGAAAGAUUCUUCGGAUGAAUUCUUUUGUGACUGAGCGGGCGGACGGGUGAAGGUAACGCGUGGGUAACCUGCCUCAUACAGGGGGAUAACAGUUAGAAAUGACUGCUAAUACCGCAUAAGACCGCGGUACCGCAUGGUACAGUGGUAAAAACUCCGGUGGUAUGAGAUGGACCCGCGU